rnacentral:rRNA from 1 species
GCCCGCUCAGACAACUCAAAGGAAGUUGACGGGGCCCGCACAAGCGGUGGAGUAUGUGGUUUAAUUCGAUGCAACGCGAAGAACCUUACCUGGUCUUGACAUCCCGGAGACCCUUAGGAAACUAGGGGGUGCUUCCAUCUGGAAGAAUCUGGAGACAGGUGCUGCAUGGCUGUCGUCAGCUCGUGUCGUGAGAUGUUGGGUUAAGUCCCGCAACGAGCGCAACCCUUGCCUUUAGUUGCCAGCAGUUCGGCUGGGCACUCUAAAGGGACUGCCGGUGUUAAACCGGAGGAAGGUGGGGAUGACGUCAAGUCCUCAUGGCCUUUAUGACCAGGGCUACACACGUACUACAAUGGCCGAUACAAAGGGCAGCGACACUGCGAGGUGAAGCCAAUCCCGUAAAAUCGGUCUCAGUCCGGAUUGGAGUCUGCAACUCGACUCCAUGAAGUUGGAAUCGCUAGUAAUCGUGGAUCAGCAUGCCACGGUGAAUACGUUCCCGGGCCUU